rnacentral:lncRNA from 1 species
UACAUCGUGGUGUGUUUUUUUUUUUUUUUGUUAUAUUUUGGAUUUGGAUUUUUUGAGAGAAAUAUUAAUUUUGUAUUCCGCCUUCGACAAUAACAAAGUUUUGCUCCGUCUUCGCCUUUGGACGUAGGCCAGUGGCCGAACCACGUAAACAUUGUGUUCUUUAUUUUUCUUCUUUAUUUUUCGAUUCUCUUUUGGUAUUUUUAUUCCUGACGAAUUAGAUCUUUUCGGUUUUCGUCAUAACAAAAUAAAUAAAAAAGCUAAAGAGAAAAAGAAAUAGUAAAAUGUAUAGAAAGAAUACAAAGAAGAAGAUAAAGAAAAAAAAAAUUAUAAGCAGAAAAAGCUGAAGAGAAAGAAGCAGUAACAACAAAAAUAUAAGAAGAAUAAAAGAAGAGUAAAGGCAAAACCAUAAGAAGAAUAAAUGCAAAACCAUACAAAAAAAUAAAUUAUGUUUGUUCCAGUGGUAAAAGCACAAGAAGGAUAAAAGAGUAGAAGCAGUAGCAACAGUAGUAAAGUAAAUAGAAGAAAAAGGAGGAACCAUAAAUAAUAACAAAAGAAGAAGAAUGAGCAUACUAAUAAAGCCAAAGGUGUGCUGAUUUGUUGUCUUAUUUGACCAUCCAUCUUUUGAUAUACCUUAUUCUCUUUAGCUUGGUAUUUUACUAUUUAUUCGGUGUACCUACUCUAUUGCCGCUUGUCGUCAUCGUCACAAUAUAAACUGAAAAAUUGAAUGAAAUAUAGGUUUACAAGUUUUUAUGAAUGACAAAAUUGAAAAUACAAAAUGGUUAAAAAAAAAAAGAAUAAUUGCAUACAACUCUCUGCAAAUGUAUUAAAUAGCAGACAAGUCUCUACAAAACUUAAGUGAUUAGAUUUAUCCCUCCAAAAAUUCUUGUGUAUGCAAAUAUGUCCUUCUAUUAUAAAUUUAUAGGGAACCAUAAGUUAAAAAAGUUAAACACGGUUAGUAAAGAAUAAAAUAACCUUUUUAGGCCCAAUAUAUAUAAUUUAUAUUAUAAUGUU